rnacentral:rRNA from 1 species
ACACACGUGCUACAAUGGCGCAUACAAAGAGAAGCGACCUCGCGAGAGCAAGCGGACCUCAUAAAGUGCGUCGUAGUCCGGAUUGGAGUCUGCAACUCGACUCCAUGAAGUCGGAAUCGCUAGUAAUCGUGGAUCAGAAUGCCACGGUGAAUACGUUCCCGGGCCUUGUACACACCGCCCGUCACACCAUGGGAGUGGGUUGCAAAAGAAGUAGGUAGCUUAACCUUCGGGAGGGCGCUUACCACUUUGUGAUUCAUGACUGGGGUGAAGUCGUAACAAGGUAACCGUAGGGGAACCUGCGGUUGGAUCACCUCCUUACCUUAAAGAAGC